UCUCUCAUCUCCUCCUCCCUCAAACUCUUGCAGCCACCAUCCCACAAACCCUAGCCGCCCCCAUCUCCUCCUCUCCUAGGUGCAGCCCUCCCGCUUGAUCUACGUCGCGUGGGUGCAAAUCUCCAAUUGGAAUUUAGUGGAAGGAAGAAGGAGGGAGGAAAGGAGGAGAAGUCAAGGUGAUUUUGUGAUUAACUCUUGUUUUUUUGUGCUGCAAUUCAAUCGAUUAGAUGUUUACGUAUGCGAAUUGGUAGAUGUGCUGUCCAGAAAUUUUGUGAGUGGGCGAACAUUAGUAGUUCUAGCUGUUUCUGGGAAUUUUUCGUGGGCAAUUAGUGGAAAUCAGUGGAAGAAUCAUGUAGAGCUUUGUCAUACCUUUCUAACGAGUACUUAUGCGCUCGAUUCGGAGUUAUAUUUUAGGAGAUAUCGCUGUUUAAAUCCGAGUAUGUUGCUGUCAAAAAAAAAACAGAUUUUGCAGGUGGACGAACAACAGUAGUAUUAGCAGUUUCUGGGGAUUUUUCAUGAGUAAUUAAUGAUAAUCAGUAUGAUAAUCAUGUAGAGCAUUGUCAUACCUUUCCAACGAGUACUUAUGCGCUCGAUUCGGAGUUAUAUUUUAGGAGAUAUCGCUGUUUCAAUCCGGGUACGCUGCUGUCCAAAAACAGAUUGCAGGGUUUAUCUUGUGGACUGUUUUGGGCUAUUUAGGGGUUGGAAUUUAAUUAUCAUUUGAAUAUAAAACUUGUGGGGAAUUUUAUGUAAAUGCUUCUGGAGUUUUUGAUUGAUAUCUUUGCUGUUAUAAUUUUAAAGUUAUGAAAUUAUCAAGCAGCGCCGCUGCAGUUUGGUGGUGAUGGGGAGAGUUGUCGCUUGUGACGGGUUGGAAUUGUGAGUAGGUGCGGUGUUGUUUAUUAGCGUUUGUUAUGUGCUUCUGAAGUAUAUUUUGAAUCACGUUAUAUGAAGUGUUGUAGGCAUGUCAUGCACAUCGCAUUAUCCAUCUUGCAUGUUGAAGUUAUGUCGUGAUCUUAUGGUCCGACCGUACCGGUACACUUUUAGCAUCGUACGUUGCCCGAGGAGGGUUACGAUGCGGCUUCAUAUUCUUAGAGCUAUGAAGGCAGAAGUCAUCCUUGCAUUUGCAGACAUUUGCACUCAUGAGGUAUAUAUGAAGUGUGACAUUACUAUGUUACUAUUGUGGUUUCUACCUGCGAGGUGUGGUAACUAGGCGUGUUGUACGUUGUAUUUGUGCUGCACCUUCGUAAUAAGAAGGUUGUGAAAUUAAGUGGUGGUAAAAUAAUGUUCUUAUGUGGUUAAAUAGUUUGUUAUUAUUUUACUUGCUUAGAUGUGUCAUCUCACUCUUGUAUUACUCAAUGCAGGUACUUGAUACAUGUUGGGAAUGAGGGGAGUAGCAGCACGUCCACUUUCACUCUCAUAAUAAUGCUGCCCACGCGCAGCCAUGAUUUAAUUAGAAACUUGUUGUCAAAGGAUGUUUGUUUUUUAACUAGUCAUGCGCAAGGGUUAAUUCGGUUGAUGUCGUAUGUUUAACUUCCC
rnacentral:lncRNA from 1 species